AUGGUACCUAACCUUCUUCUUUCACGUCUUUCCACAGAGGGGAACAGCCGGUUGUGUGUCUCUGUCAGGGACUACUACUGUUACCGGCUAAAAACGCGCCCUGCGAUAUUCAACCCCAUACUACACGGAGCACGCCUGUUUCAGCAGUGGGGUGUCGACAUGUUCAUCAAGAUUGAGGGAUGUAGGCUGAAGUGGAUCAGGGACCACCAGAGAGAGAUACGUGCCGAUCUAUACCAAGGCCUUGUGGAUAGCAUCGCGGUUGGGGAGAUGCGAGCGAGCGCUGUUGGGAAGAGGAUCGUCCUGCCAGGGACGCAUCAAGGAAGCAACGGAGACAUGAAGCGGAGGCAGAUGGAUGCCAUGGCACUGGUGCAGACAUAUGGGAAGCCUGACAUCUUUUUGACUAUGACAUGCAAUCCUAGCUGGGAGGAGAUACUGAAUGAGCUGCUUCCUGGCCAGACACCCCAGGACCGACCAGAUCUUGUCGCACGCGUGUUCAGGGCCAAGCUGGAGACCAUGAAAGAGAUGUUGUUCAAAAAGCACAUCCUUGGUGUUGUGGUAGCGCAUGUGUAUGUCGUCGAGUUCUAG
rnacentral:rRNA from 1 species